UACAGAGGGUGCAAGCGUUGUUCGGAAUUAUUGGGCGUAAAGGGUGCGUAGGCGGUGCGGUAAGUCUGCUGUGAAAUCUCCGGGCUCAACUCGGAGUCUGCAACGGAAACUGCCGUGCUUGAGUGUGGGAGAGGCGCGUGGAAUUGCAGGUGUAGCGGUGAAAUGCGUAGAUAUCUGCAGGAACACCCGUGGCGAAAGCGGCGCGCUGGACCACUACUGACGCUGAGGAACGAAAGCUAGGGGAGCAAACAGG
rnacentral:rRNA from 1 species